AAAGCUCGUAGUUGGAUUUCGGGUGUGUCGACGCGGUCUGCCUCUGGUAUGUACUGCGCUCGGUGCACCUUUCUGCUGGGGACGGGCUCCUGGGCAUAACUGCUUGGGACCUGGAAUCAGCGAAGUGACCUUGAGCAAACAAGAGUGUUCAAAGCAAGCCGACGCUCUGAAUUUUUUAGCAUGGAAUCACACGAUAGGACUCUGGCCUAUCUUGUUGGUCUGUAGGACCGGAGUAAUGAUUAAGAGGGACAGUCGGGGGCAUUCGUAUUUCAUUGUCAGAGGUGAAAUUCUUGGAUUUAUGAAAGACGAACUUCUGCGAAAGCAUUUGCCAAGGAUGUUUUCAUUGAUCAAGAACGAAAGUUGGGGGCUCGAAGACGAUUAGAUACCGUCGUAGUCUCAACCAUAAACGAUGCCGACUAGGGAUUGGCAGGUGUUCCAUUGAUGACCCUGCCAGCACCUUAUGAGAAAUCAAAGUUUUUGGGUUCCGGGGGGAGUAUGGUCGCAAGGCUGAAACUUAAAGGAAUUGACGGAAGGGCACCACCAGGCGUGGAGCCUGCGGCUUAAUUUGACUCAACACGGGGAAACUUACCAGGUCCAGACACGGGGAGGAUUGACAGAUUGAGAGCUCUUUCUUGAUUCUGUGGGUGGUGGUGCAUGGCCGUUCUUAGUUGGUGGGUUGCCUUGUCAGGUUGAUUCCGGUAACGAACGAGACCUCAGCCUGCUAAAUAGUCACGGGUACCUUCGGUACACGCCUGACUUCUUAGAGGGACUAUUGGCGUCUAGUCAAUGGAAGUGUGAGGCAAUAACAGGUCUGUGAUGCCCUUAGAUGUUCUGGGCCCGCACGCGCGCUACACUGAUGCAUUCAACGAGCCUAUCCUUGGCCGAGAGGUCUGGGUAAUCUUCGAAACUGCAUCGUGAUGGGGAUAGAUUAUUGCAAUUAUUAGUCUUCAACGAGGAAUGCCUAGUAAGCGCAAGUCAUCAGCUUGCGUUGAUUACGUCCCUGCCCUUUGUACACACCGCCCGUCGCUCCUACCGAUUGGGUGUGCUGGUGAAGUGUUCGGAUUGGCCUCAGUGGCGGGCAACCGCCGCCGUGGCCGAGAAGAACAUUAAACCCUCCCACCUAGAGGAAGGAGA
rnacentral:rRNA from 1 species